rnacentral:lncRNA from 1 species
CAGUGUUCGUGGGGUCAUGCCAAUCAACCUGCUAUCUGCCAAUCACGGGAAUGCCUGGAAUGUUAGGAUACCGGGCAGAGUGGCGUGAAGGGGGGUUGGGCAGGGGGAUGGAGCAUUGGAAGUUAAGACCGGGUUUAGCCAUUGUUCUCUCUCUUACAUCUGGGCUUCACAAGAGAAGGUCACGGUUCGUUUUGUAGUGUACCUUUCAUUCAUUUGGCGUGGGCUACGGCCAAACAGUAGCCUGUGUUAAGUUGUGUUAAUAAACCGUCCAUUCGUUAACUCCAUCCUCCGUCUGGACAAUUGUUCCUUCAUGAUCUAGUCAGAGAGUGGAGAGGAAGGAGAGGAGGAAGACUGGAUAGGAAGAAGAGAGAAAGAGAGAGAGGAGGAAAGAUUGGAGAGGAAGGAGAAGGAAAAAUGAAGGGAGUAAAAAGAGUGAAGCGAGGAGAUUGUAGAAGAUUGAGGUGGAAAUUUGAAGAGAAGGAAAGGAAGAAAGAGCAGUAAGAUGAGUGGAGAAAAGAGGAGAAAGAUUGGAGCGGAAGAAAAAGUUAAGAGAGUAAGAAGAGCCGAGGUACAAUGGCUCUUUCCAAGAAACGGAAUCAAUGAUAUAUUGACAGCAGCAAGAAAUAGGUUCACUGUUCCUACCAUCAAGGCCAUGCUUAUUGUGAAGACAAACUUCAAUCUCUCCUGCCAGGAGUUCAUGGAGAAGCUGGCCAAAGACAGACAUUUUUUCAGAGAAAUAUACAGAUUAGGUCUCUGAGGCACUGUUCCAGCAGGUCUUCCAGUACUAUGGCCUUCUGGAGGAUAUACUCUCCGAUCGUGGCCCCCAAUUCACAUCACGUGUAUGGAAGGCUUUCAUGGAGAAGCUGGGGGUCACGGUCAGCCUCACUUCUGGGUACCGGCUUCAAUCUAACGGGCAGGUGGAGAGGAUGAACCAGGAGCUGGGGAGGUUCCUGACGAGUCACUGCCAGGACCUGCAGGGGGAGUGGUCACGAUUCCUUACUUGGGCUGAAUACGCCCAGAAUUCAUUGUGACACUCCUCCACUAGCCUAACUCCCUUGCAGUGUGUUAUGGGUUAUCAGAUGGCUCCUGGCUCCGUGGACCCAGAGCCAGACCGAAGCUCCUAGGGUGGAUGAGUGGUUCAGGCUCUCUGAAAGAGGUAUGGAACGAUGCCCACGUGAGACUCCAACGUGCCGUCCGCCAUCAGAAAGAGCAGGCUCCCGUGUUCCAUCCUGGUGAUCACGUCUGGCUCUCACCAGGUACCUCCCACUCCACCUGCCCUGUAAAGAAGCUGAGUCCCUGUUUGUUUGUGGGGCCGUUCAAGGUCCUCCGCAGGGUCAGCGAGCUCUUGGAGUCCCUGGACAUCAACCACCCGAGCCACUGCCUGUUCACACCGCUACCAUCCAGAAGGAGAGUUGCAGCUACAGUAUGCUUAACAGUUCUAAUAUUAUGGUACAGCUAGACGGACUCUUCAUCGUCAUGGUGCUUUUUGAUAAGUGCGUCCUAGGAACGCCGCCCACGUGUGGCCCCAGUGCGCCGUCUGCCGUCAGAAGGAUCAGGUGGACUGCCACUGCAGUGAGGCUCCCGUGUUCCAUACUGGUGACCGCGUCUAGCUCUCCACCAGGAACCUUCCCCCUGCCCUGUCGGAAGCUGAGCCCCUCAAUGUCCUCCAGAGGGUCAAUGAGGUAACCUAUUGUUUAGAACUCCCC